rnacentral:lncRNA from 1 species
GAAAACAUAAAUCAAGAAACCGAUUUGAGAAGAUCUAUUACAUACGAUUCGAAACAUAAUCGGAUAGUUGCUAAUUAUGCAAGUCAGCAAGUAUUAAAGGGUUUAAGCUAGCUUUUUACUGUAUAUUAUUUAGUCAUGUAAUUUCAUUAGAUUUAUAUCCCAUUUUUAUCACAGGGAAACGUAAAAGGAGAUCUGUAACUUUUAAUGGAGAAGAUAGAAUCAGUAACUUGCCAGAGCACUUAAUUGACUCGAUCUUAGAGCGGAUCCCAUUUGAAGAUGCCAUAAAAACAAGCAUUAUAUCAAAAAAGUGGAGGUACAAAUGGACCUCAAUGAAGGUGUUGACUUUUGAUAAAGACUUCAAUGAGAAAAUUGCAAAAAAUGGAGCUAUUGAUUACAAUGAAUAUAUAAACACCAUAAACCAAGUGUUACUUCUUCACAAGGGUCCUAUCUCAAAAUUUGUUAUCCAUAUACCACCUAUGUUUCUUGAUAGCUUCGAAGAAAUUGAUGAAUGGAUGAUGUUGUUAUCAAGAAACAAUGUGACAAAACUCGUUCUUACUAAUUCAAAUCAACGAUAUGAGCUUCCUUCUCAUGUAUUUUCAUGUUUAGGAUUAACAGAGUUGAUAUUGGAGAAUUGUUUCUUCAAUCCACCACUUCAGUUUGAAGGGUUUCUUAAUCUUGUAGAACUUUUCCUUCAGCAUAUUGAUUUUGGGAAGAAUUUAAGUGGAAAUCAGAUGAACUUACCACAACUUAAGAAUCUGAAUUUUCUUGAGUGUACGAAUGUUCACAAUUUCAACAUCAAGGCUACAAAGAUGAAGAGUUUAAUUCUAGUCACGUGUCCUGAUGCUAAUUUGCUACAAUUGUUGGAAAAUCCUUCUAUUGUUGUGUUUGGUGUAUCUUUUCGGAUUUUUGAAGAUUUUGAUAGAGUUGAGAUGAUAAAUUCCCUCAGCUUUUUUAGUAGCUUAACAAGAAUUGAAGACUUCUUAAUCGAGGGUAAUUUUCUUAAGGUAUGAUACGAAAGUAAACUUUAAAUGCUUUCCAUUUACUCUUCCUUAAUUACUUAUAUAUAGUAUACGCAAAUACGCGAUUGAGUAUUGAUAAGGUUAAUUCAAACUAUAUGGUUUUUUUAGUGAAUUGCUUUUUUGGUCCCUGUAGUAUUCAGAUAGAUAAAAUGACAAAUGGUCGCUGUAACGUUUUUUACAAAAAUGGCCUUGUGUUUGAAAUACAAAAUGACAGAAAUGCUCCCUGUGUGAGAUUUUUUUACAGAAAUGGUCCUUCUGUAAGAAAAUUAUAGAAACGAUCCCCGUCUAAGACAAAAUUACAGAGACGGUCCCUCUGUAGGAAUAGAAGAAAUUGCAGAAAUGAUCCUUGUGUAAAAUAAAGCUACAGNNNNNNNNNNNNNNNNNNNNNNNNNNNNNNNNNNNNNNNNNNNNNNNUAUAUAUAUAUACAUAUAUUUACCACUAUAAAUGUUAAGAAACUCUUUGAACAUAUAAUUUUGAAUCUGGAAAAAGAUUAUACCCCGUAUUAAAAUUCCUAGCUCCGCCACCUAUGCCUUCUAGUUGCAACUUUAAUGAGUUUUGUAAACCAUAUAUAUCCUGCUCACUUUGAUAUAACUUUUUGUUUGAUAUGUUUAAGCAUUGAAACUUUCAAACACAUGCACACAUAAUUAUAAACACCAAAAUAUAAAAUAUAUCUUACCAUUAUAAGCACCAAAAUUUUCAAAUUACUAAAUAUUUCUAUAUAUGUUGCAAGAAAAACCAUCUUUAGAACAAGCUACAAGCCGGAACAACGGUGACGGGAUGUAGUGAGUUGGUCGUCAUGGUGGCAUUUAGGGCUUUUUAUAGAAAGAAAGAGAUGUCAACAAUGUAAAGGGUAAACGGUGAUGGUGCUCCGGUGGUGGCAGGGUGGUAAGUGCUUUGUGUCUAGGGUUUUUUUAGCGAGGGAGGGAGAGAGUCUUCCAAGAACCAAGCACAUCCAUAUGAUUUUUUCAUUCCUUUCUACACCCCAAUCAUCGAAAACAUUAAAAGAUGGAGGUGGUUUUACCCAAAUCUCCUUUUUUCUUCUUCAAAGUUGUUCAUAUAUGGUUGUAUAGAAGCUUAUGUAAGAAUCGAAAGCGUUAAUGGACUAUUUCCGGGCAGUUAGUCUAUUAGUUAUUCAUUAUAUAAGGAGAGGGCAGUAAGUGAUGAGUGGUGAAAUAUGUGAUGGUGGUGGUGAUUGGUUUCUCGGGUAAGCUUGUGAAUGAACUAAGAUAGGUUAGGACAUAAAAAACUAGAUAUGUGACAGUGGGUUUUCACGAGGUAUGAGAUAAGGGAUCAAUUCAAAUUCUGAAUGGAAUGGAAGUCAAAUGAUUAGUGCACGAUAUUAUAAUGAUGGAACAGAAGUAAAGGGGACCGAGUCAAAGACAUGCAUCAGUAAAUUGUACAUACAAUAUAACAACCAGUAAAAAUAUACCAUGAUUACAUGAUCAAAUAUAAGAAACUUACAAACCAUGAGUCACUUGGUAGGCCAAUUUUGGAUACAUAUCACAAAGUAAUAGUGAUAAGGAAACUUCAUAAAAGUCACCAUAUUUUGAAUAACUAUUAUAAAAGUUACUAUAUUUUAUAUUUAUCAGUUUUGAUACUCAAAAUAUAAUGUCACCGAAUAGAGUCAGGUAAUCAUGCCCUGUCAGCAUGACGCAUUAUCAAAAUUCACAUGUCAACCAGGUUGAGUGGUUAAACGGUAAAAUUAUAACAAAUUAGUAAAAGGAAUGUCAGAUUAGAGAAAAAGAAUAACACAAUAUUAAAAUUUAAUUCUUGUGAAAACCUAGUGUAUUUUAUGGAUUUUUUCCAUAUAAAAAUAUACAUUGAUAUUCUGGUAUUAUACAAGAUAACAACCCUAAAAAUAAGGGUAACGCAUUCAAAUUUAACCUUUGUAUAUGGCUGGAUAUAGAUCGCAUUCAAAUUUCAAAUUUAUAUAUGGGUUGGAUAUAGAUCAUUAGAUUGGUUGGCAAGUAUUUGUUAGUUGUUACAAACCUUCUCGUCUACACGUAAAAAAUUAAUAUCGCUAGAGUACUUCUUUUCAUCUAAAAUUUUUGACAUUCGCUCUGAAGGUAUCUUCAAGUGAUGAUGCGUAAAUUUCUACUUCACAAGCCUCUAUGUAUUUGAUUCAUUGAAGUCGUAUGUGAAAUCUCGAUAUCGUGUCACAGUAAUUAUUAUCAAUUUGUUUGAAGUCUGUUUAUUAUGAUCUCAUUCCAGUUGAAUAAACCAAUCACUUUGAGAAGAUUAUGUAGUACUUAGAUACCGGUUAACUUUGCAAGGCAGGGAUUAAGCUAGGCUUUGCCAGUGUAAUUUCAUUAGUCGAAGUGACUAUAAGUUAGGUUUUGCUAGGGGAAACCAUUGAUUCAGUUAUAAGCUUGAGGAUAAAUCAAAUAAACUGUAGACCUGGGAAAAUACAAUGAAUAACAUAGAGAGAGGUGAACCCUUUCUAGGGCUUUGUUAAUAUUUAAAGCAUAAUGAUCAACUCACAUAUACUUCAAAUAAAGCAAUUCUGUUAUCUUACUAUACCAAAAAUAUGACAAUCAUUAACUCAUAAAUAGUGAAAAUAAAUCAAUUCUUUUCUCAGUCUAUUAUAGUGUUUUUUAGAACAUGACAGUUAUAAUGUGUAAUUAAUUUAUUUAGUUUCUAGUAACAUUUUAUGUUAUGAAAACUUUUCAAAAUUAAAGUGACGAGGAAUCCUUGUAAGCAUGUUUGUAAGAAAUAAAAUGUAAAAUGGAAACUUGUGGAUAAUAGCAAUGGACUUUUCUCUCAAUACUAAUAUGAGCAACACACUUUAUUGCUCCAUGUUUUUUUAUUCCUUCCAUUUUUUCGAAAUAACUUGUAUUUUUUAAUCCAAUAACAGGGACAUAUAAGAAGAGGUCUUUAACUUGUGAUAGAGAAGAUAAAAUCAGUAACUUACUAGAGCACUUGAUAGACUCAAUCUUAGAGAGGCUCCGAAUUAAAGAUUCUGUAAGGACCAACAUUAUAUCAAAAAAGUGGAGGUACAGAUGGACCAAAAUUAAGGUGUUGAUUCUUGAUGAGCAGUUCUCUACAAAAUUUGCACAAAAUGGAGCUUUUGAUCGUAAUGGGUUUAUAAAUACAAUAAACCAUGUCUUGACCUCUCACAGUAGUUCUAUCUUGAAAUUUCAUCUACAUAUACCAAACAUGUUUCUUGAUAGUUACCAAGAAGUUUGUUAGACUAAGUUUAUGUGUUGCAUUGUAUUUUACUUAAAUUAGUGGGUACCUAAUUGUAUUUAUCUAACCUAUAUAUAUUAGGUUCAUAUGUAUCAUAUCUUUGAGAUAAUCAAUAAUAAAAACACGGUUUGAUUUGGUAUCAGAGUCAAGUUAAUCUUUACCUUAUUGGCGGCAUCCUCACAACAGCCUCUUACGCAAGAUAAACCCUAAUCACCGAUCUGUCAAGAAACUUCAUGGCGACCAUUGCUGCCUUCACUACACAGGAGAAAACCUCUCAUAAUUCUCAUAAAUUCGCUUUUACCCUCACACCCACAAACUAUGGGUAUUGGAAGGCCAUGCUAAAACCCUUUCUCAUCUCCAACAAUCUGUUCGGUUAUGUCGAUGGUACAAUACCAUGCCCUGAGCCCAAAGUCGGCACAGGAGAGACAAUUACAGACAAUCCCAGUUACUCUCGUUGGAUCUCUAAUGAUGCUCAUGUUCGUAUGAUAAUCAUCUCUACCAUCUCAGAGGCUUCCUUCCAGCAUGUUCAGGGUACUACCUCACGAGAUCUAUGGCUACAAUUAGAACGUGUUUAUGCCCCAACCAAUUCUUCAAGAGAGUAUACAUUAAAAACCCAGUUGCUAAAACUCACCAUGAAAGGCGAUGAAACUCCUCUUGCCUAUCUUGCACGUGCACAAGAAUAUGCUACUGCACUUGCUAAUAUUGGUGAACCUGUUAAAGACAAGGAUCUGGUUCUUCUUGUUAUUUCUGGGCUACGUGAAGAGUAUAACGGACUCAAGUCUACCCUCUUAGCUCGUCACCCACCUGUUACCUUCAUUGAGCUACAUGCCCUUUUGAGUGAUCAUGAUUAUAUGAUAAAUAAAAAUCUUACUGCUGCCCCUGCAUCACAGCCACACGUGUUUGCUGCUUCAACAGAAACAUCACUCAACAUUAACAAUUUUCAAAGCCAACUUCAGUCUCUACAAAGCAUGGCGUCCCAGCUUGGCUUCCAACUUAAUCCGAUUGCUCCACAAAGUGCAACUCCUCAAGCUUUCUAUGCCUCACGGCCCCCAAACAACAACUACAGAGGAAAUCGUCGAGGAAACUCGCGUGGGAAUAAUUCGCGUUGGAAUUUUCAGAAUCGAUCUCAUGGUGCCAACUCAGGUCCCUCCAGGAAAUUCUCUUGGGCCUCCACACAAAACACUGUAUUUGGUCAUUGCAACCGUUGUGGUAUUGGCCAUCUUCCAUCCCAGUGUCCAAAUAACCAAGAUGCAAGUAACUCGUCAAAACCGAAUUUGCAGGCAAAUUUCGCAACCUUUGCUGACAAUGUCUCUACUUCCGGCACUACUUGGUUCCCUGACACAGGUGCAAACUCCCACACCACACCAGAUCUGUCCAACCUUGACACCUCCGAGUUCUAUCGUGGUCCUGAUUCUUUUCAUGUUGGUGAUGGUAACUCUCUUCCUAUUCUUCAUAUUGGAUUUUCAAAAUGUUAUUCAUCUAAUAAAACCUUUAAUCUUUCCAAUAUUCUUCAUGUUCAUGAUGUCAAGAAAAAUCUCUUAUCUGUUCAACAAUUUUGUCAAGACAACAAUGUUUUCUUUGAAUUUCACUCCUCUUUCUUUGUUGUGAAGGACGAACGUACUCGCACCACUCUUCUCACGGGACCAAGUAAUAACGGUCUCUACUCGCUUCGUCUUCCAAGUUUCAAGUCCUUAACAAAGUUGGCUCUCACAGCAACUAAAGCUUCCUCAAGAAUCUGGCACCACCGCCUUGGUCAUCCACAUCAACGUGUUUUUGACACUAUUGUUUCUAGUUGUUCGCUUCCUGUUUCUACAAAACAUUGUUUAGAUUUAUGUUCUGCUUGUCAGUUAGGGAAAUCUUCCAAACUUUCUUUACCUAGUUCAUCUUUUCGAAGCAAUAAUAUUUUAGACUUAAUUUAUUGUGAUGUUUGGGGUCCCUCACCUAUUUUAUCAUUUGAUGGCUGUCAGUUCUUUUUACUUUGUGUUGAUCAUCACUCUCGCUAUAUGUGGUUUUUCCCAUUGACACAUAAAUCUGAUGUUUUUCAAACUUUCACCAACUUUGUCAAGAUGGUAGAAUGACAAUUCAAUACCAAACUCAAAAGUGUUCAAACUGAUUGGGGAGGGGAAUUUCGCAAUCUAUCUUCCUUUUUCUCAUCACUUGGAAUCAUUCAUCGUCGCUCAUGCCCUCAUACUAGCAAGCAAAAUGGUUUUGUUGAGCGAUGUCAUCGUCACGUGGUUGAAACUGGCCUUACUCUCCUUGCUCAUGCCAAUCUUCCCCAACGAUUUUGGCAGUUUGCUUUUGAGACAGCCGUGUAUCUUAUCAAUCGCUUACCAUCUCGAACCUCAUCCAAUAGAUCACCUUACCAACAUGUCUUCAGUCGAAAACCUGACUACACCUUUCUUCGGGUUUUUGGAUGUGAAUGUUUUCCACACCUUCGCCCGUACAAUAGAUACAAAAUGGAUUUUAGCUCUGCUCCUUGUACAUUUCUUGGUUAUAGCCCACUACACCAUGGUUACCGAUGCCUUGACACCUCUACGGAUCGAAUCUACAUUGCUCGCCGUGUUCGAUUUAAUGAGAAUGUUUUUCCGUUCAAACGCCCACCUCCACCUAGUACCACUCGUGCCGCUACGUAUGUUUCAUCUCUCCCAAGUUUUAUACCCGAUCCUACUUCUACUACUACUACUGACAACUCACCUCCAACCACACCUCCUACAUCUCCUAUAACUACUCCUUUGGCAGCAUCGCCACCUAUCACCACAGAAACUACCUCGACUGAGUCGUUUGAUACCUCUCCUAAUGCCGCGCCACCUCCUCCUCUACGCACCCGUCCCCCACAUUUACGCCCCAACCCGAAACGGACUACACCUUAUAGCCCCUCGAUAUAUCAUGCUACUGCUUCUAUUACCGAACCUACCUCAUUUUCGGUUGCGAGCAAAUCUCAGGAAUGGCGGAAUGCCAUGUCAGAGGAAUACACUGCUCUUAUCAAAAAUGGUACUUGGACUCUUGUCCCUCCAGUUCCUCAUGCCAACAUCAUAGAUUCCAAAUGGGUUUAUAAACUUAAGCGAGACCCCGAGGGCAAUAUUUCUCGCUACAAAGCACGACUUGUAGCAAAGGGUUUCAAACAACAAGCGGGUGUUGACUAUCAUGAAACUUUUAGUCCUGUGAUCAAAGCCACCACAAUUCGGGUUGUCCUCUCUCUUGCUGUAACUCAUAAAUGGUCAAUCAGGCAAUUGGAUGUUCAUAAUGCAUUUUUUCAUGGUGACUUAAAAGAAACUGUUUACAUUCGGCAGCCACAAUGAUUUGUUGAUCCUUCUAAACCUGGUCAUGUGUGCCUUCUUCACAAGUCUUUGUAUGGUCUCAAGCAAGCUCCACGAGCUUGGUUUCAACGCUUGUCCACUGUGUUGCAUCGCUUUGGUUUUUCGGGGUCUCGCACUGACCCAUCUUUAUUUAUUCUGAAAAUAGGUCGGACUCGAAUUUACAUUCUAAUCUACGUGGAUGAUAUCAUUAUUACUGGUAAUGAUGAUGCGAUGAUUGCUCACCUCAUUCAACAGUUGGGUUCCACUUUUUCCAUUAAAGACCUUGGUCAACUGCAUUACUUCUUGGGCAUUGAGGUUGUUUCUCGUAAUUCUAACCUCAUAUUGUCCCAACGGAAGUAUAUUUUGGAUAUUCUUCAUCGUUCGGGUCUCAAGGAUUGCAAACCGGUCCAAUCUCCAAUGACCACCACUCAGGUCUUAUCUAUUGGUGACAGUCCUCUCUUGCCAGAUCCGACUAUCUAUAAACAACUCGUCGGAGCUCUUCAGUAUGCUAGUAUCUCUCGUCCUGACAUUGCUUAUGUCUUCAACAAAGUGUGUCAAUUCAUGCAUGCUCCUACCGAAAACCAUUGGUCCGCUGUCAAACGUAUCUUGCGGUACUUACAGGGCACGACUGAUUUUGGACUUCUCAUUAGGCAUGAUUCGGGUUCCUCUCUCCAUUUACGGAUGNGAUGUUCAUUGGCAACACUCUACAUUUGAUUCUUUACAUGCCUUCUCGGAUUCAGACUAGGCAGGAUGCCCUGAUGAUCGACGUUCCACGGGAGGAUUUGCUAUAUAUUUGGGAUCGAACUUGAUCUCAUGGACUGCCAGAAAACAGCAAACUGUCUCAGUGUACUGUCUCAAGAUCUUCAACCGAGUCGGAGUACAAAGCCCUUGCAGAUACGGUGGCUGAAUUAGUCUGGUUGAAAGCUCUUCUCAAUGAAUUGGGAGUUUCAGUUCAACGUCCUACACUUUGGUGUGACAAUCUUGGUGCUACCUAUCUAGCUGCUAAUCCGGUUUUUCAUGCUCGCACCAAACAUGUUGAAGUGGAUUUUCACUUUGUUCGUGAACGUGUGGCUUCUGGUCAAUUAUGUGUUCAGUUCAUUUCUACUGCUGAUCAGAUCGCUGAUGUUUUUAGCAAACCGUUGUCUUCUCAAAGAUUUCUCUUUUUACGAUCCAAGCUACAGGUCGUUCCCCGUCCUUAGCUUGCGGGGGAAUGUUAGACUAAGUUUAUGUGUUGCAUUGUAUUUUACUUAAAUUAGAGGGUACCUAAUUGUAUUUAUCUAACCUAUAUAUAUUAGGUUCAUAUGUAUCGUAUCUUUGAGAUAAUCAAUAAUAAACACACAGUUUGAUUAAGUUGAUCAAUGGAUGCUACUCUUAUCAAGAAAAAGUGUUAGGGAACUCGGGUUUACUAAUUCAAAUCAACGUUACGAACUUUCUUCUAAUGUGUUCUCUUGUCUAAAACUGACAAAACUUGAUUUGAAGAACUGUUUCUUUAAGCAACCACUUGAGCUCGAACGAUUUAUCAAUCUUCAAACUCUUUUUCUCCUGAAUAUUGUUUUUGGAGCUAACUUUCGCGAAACCGAGAUCAACUUACCAAAGCUUAAGACGUUGUCCCUUAGUUAAUGUACAAAUGUUUGUAGUUUCAACAUCAAGGUUACAAACCUGCAGAUGUUAUUUGUCUAUGGUUGUCAUGAUGCCAUGUUGCUCCGGUUAUUGCACACUCCAUGCCUUCACCUUACUGAUGUUAGUAUAGUAUUUAUGAAACCCAUACAGGAUUCUGUUUGAGCUGAAAGAUUGACAUUGCCUACAACGUUAAGUAACUUGCCCAAAGUUAGAUCUGUAGUUACUGAUGGUCAUUUCCUUAAGGUAUGCUACAAAGUACUCUUCCUCAAAUGGAGUUUGCAUAAACGGGUCCCACCUUUCCCAUAUAUCUAAUCUCGUUUUUUUCUGAUAAGUUAGAAUCUGAUUUCCACCUCAUAGUUUUUGAGUGCAGAAAAGAAUCUGAAUUGGCUUCCACAUGCGGUUAAUGGUCUACACAAUUUGUUGUUAACGGAUUUUGAAGUUGGUGAUUUGGAUCAACUUCAUGGUGCUCUUUAUUUGCUUCGAAACUCACCGAAUCUAGGAAAUCUGGGUAUAGUGCCUUGGUACAUGGUAAUGUAGAGUGCUAAAGCAUAUUUAUUUUGCUCAUAUAGUACACGAAUUAUAUUUAUAUUUUACAAUGUGGUUGCAUUUUUAUGAUUUUUCAGGGGCCUCAAGAUGAUGCGGGACCCGCUUUAAAUCAUUUGGAAUCCCUAAACUGCUUGGAUUAUACAUUGAAUGAACUGCAAACUGUGAUGAUAGUAUCUUUAGAAGGAUCAAGACCUGAACUAAUUUUUAUAAAGCUUCUACUUGCUCAUUCUCCUUCUCUAAAGAAGUUUACCUUUAGACUAAAUGAAGUUGAUGUUCAAAAUAGACUUAAAAUUGGUGAGGAUCUUCUGCAGUUCCCCCGAGCCUCACCAAAAGCAGAACUGCUCUACUUGAAUCUAGAGCUGUAACUCUACAAGAACGUUCAAUAUAGCUUUAAGUGUUUUUGAGUUAUCUUUAAUAUCUUUUUAUUCACCUUGAUAUGUUUGUUGUGAGGGUGAUAAGUAAAAUGGUUCUUGACUUCUUUAUGCCUUUCAUGACUGCAAUGUAUCUAAAAUCCAAUUUCUGCAUAUCAGAGUGUUCUUUUUGACAUUUUAUGUUUUAACAAGAAUAAUGGAUUCCUCUUCUUCCACGAAGCCCUGCUCUAAACUUCUACCUUCAAAUGGUUAAUCUUUAUUGAAAUCAGAAGAUCAUCUGAAAUCUAUAAUGAAGGAAACUCUACAGAAAUGUAGACAUAUACUUGCAGACAAAUUCAAGACAUCAUCUGUUUAAUUUGUGAACUUUUAUACAGUCAAAGAAACAUGGAGAAAGUUCGUUUACAUCUUCAUCCCAGAAAGAAUGUGACAUGUCUGUUGAAUAUCUCCUUUAAAUACCCACUUAUUGCUCUAUUUGCUUUGCUAGUUGCUACAUUGCAUCUUCCAUAUUUGUACUUGUUUUAUUGCUUAACUGUGGUGUAAUACUUACAGAUAGUUGUACAAGAAAUUUCAUUAAUAAACAUGUUAAAUAGUAUGUUAUCUGGUUUUCUGUGAAAGUAAUUUAUAUUUUUGUGGAAAAGAACCGUAACAAAUGGUUAUGGUUUUUUUAAUCGGGUUAAAUAAAUACAAUUCAUUAUAUUUUGGAUAGUUAUUCCGAGUUUAAAAUGUUAUUUUUCUUGGAAAUGUCAUUCUAAUCCGGCAAACUUUUCCUAUUUGUUUUAAAUAGUCUUAGUUUGUUUUAUUAUUAUUUAUAAAUUUUUUUUAACUAUGUCUAUUUUUCCGGUUAAUAUCCUUGAACCUUUUUAUAAACGAAUUUUUUAAUAUGUGUCAUAAGACCACAUAUAAGAAACAUUAAUUGAAUUAUUAAUUAUAAGAAAUAUUACCAUAUAUAAAUGUGAUAAAUAUUAAUUUUGUGUAAUAUUACUAUAAUUAAAUGUGAAAUACAUUAAUUGUAAAUAAUAUUAUUUAUAACUAAUAUGAGAUUUUCUAAUAUGCGUCCUAAAGACACAUAUAAAAAACAUUAACUAAUGACAAAUAUUACCAUAAUUAAAUAUAAAAUACAUUAAUUAUGAGUAGUAUCAUAAUUAAAUAUGAAACGCAAUAAUAAUCUCCAUAAAAAAUGUAUUUAGAAUAUAAUUUAUGGUAAUAUUUUUCAUAAUUAAUACUAUAUAUGCCCUUAGGGCACAUAUUAUAAAAUCUCAAUUGAUAUUUAUUAUAUUUAAUUAUAGUAAUAUCCGUCAUAAUUAACACUUAUUAUUAGUUCUUAUAUGUGCCCUUAGAGCAUCUACAAUGGUGAGUCUAAUGAUAGGGUUGAAUGAGGUGGCAAGUCUAUGUGUCAUUGAAUUCAUGAAACUCUAUCAUUGUGGGAUGCAACCUUGACAUUCAAUGGAUUUAAAGAUCAACCUUGGCAUUCUUGAAUAUUUUCUAUACAUUACGUUUUAUAACAUUCUAUUGAAUUUUUUAGAGUUCAAUGAAUUGCAAUAAAAAAAAUAAUAGAGUUGUAUAGAUUGUAAAAAGACGAUGUGACAAUCUAUUAAACUUUAUUGAGUUGAAUGCAUUGUGGAUGCCCUUAGGGCACAUAUUAGAAAAUUCCUUUUUCCAAAUGUGUUUUAGGAAUUGAUGAGAAAUUUCCUUGGGAAUAGCUAUAUACUUGUUAUAGGCGUCGUAGAGCAGCGAACCCAACGUUCCUGACAUUCUAAGCCGUACAGAUAAAAAAAACGAUGACGGUUUAGUUUGUACUUCCAAACCACCAUACUUUUUUACUCCUUGAAAAUCAUAUGAGAAACCUCGAAAUCCUUUUACUGUUAUAACAAUUUAUAUGAGCGACAUUGUUUUAAUUAUAUUGUUUAUGAUUUCUUCUGUUCAUCAUUCAAACAAUGUUUUCUUGUAUCUUUGCAAAUUAUCUCGUAUCCAUAUUAAACUGAAGUAGCCAUGCAAUAUAUUCAUUAUAUUUAAGUUGAUUUAAAUUAUAUUUUGCCUUGCUACUACAAUAAGUUUAUCUACUCAUAACUUAUGUUACCACACCUAAAACCUCGAUAAUAAAAGGAAAUUAGGAGUGUCAGUAACAUCAAGUUGUUCUAUGUUUUCCAUUGUCCUUUGAAAUAACUUAGUCCAAUUUUUUCUUUUUUUAAACUAACGACAGAGAUAUGUGAGAGGGGAUUUGUGAACAAGAUAGAAUAAGUAAUUUGUUUGAACACUUGAUAGACUCAAUCUUAGAGCGCCGCUUGAAGAGACUGUAUGGACAAGCAUUUUAUCAAAAAAUUGGAGGUACAGAUGGACCACAAGAUAGAAUAAGUAAUUUGUUUGAACACUUGAUGAAUGCUUCUCCAGAAAAUUUGCAAAAAAUGGAGCUGUUGGUCCUAAUGGGUUUAUAAGGAUCAUAAACCAAGUCUUGUUCCUUCACAAGGGUCCUAUCUUGAAAUUUCAUCUCCAUAUACCUUGAUAGCUUCCAAGAAGUUGAUCAAUCGACCCUACUCUUGUCAAGAAAGGGUGUUAGGGAACUCGUCCUUACUAAUUCAGACCGAUAUUAUCAACUUACUUCAGUGUUUUCUUGUCUAGAGUUGAUAAAUUUGCAUUUGAGGAACUGUUUCUUCAAUCCACCACUUGAGUUUGAAGGAUUUCUCCAUCUUAAAAGGCUUUAUCUCCAAAAUAUUGUUUUUAGGGCUAAUUUGUGUGGAACUCAUAUCAACUUCCCACAGCUUAACAAGUUUGUGCUGAGAACUUCCACGGAUAUCUACAAUUUCAACAUCAAGGCCACAAAGCUUCAGAGUUUGAAAAUUUUCAAUUGUUCAGAUGGCAUGUUGCUCCAAUUAUUACACAGUCCACACAUUAUUAAUCUUGAUAUAUAUAGUUCUUUCCAAUUCCAGGCAUCCAUAAAGGGUUUGGUACCAGUUGAAUGAAUAAAUCUGGCGAGCAUGUUAAGUAACUUGCCCAAAAUUGAAUUUCUUUCUAUCGAUGGUGAAUCUCUUGAGGUAUGAUAGAAAAGUAAAAUUUAAAUGUUUAACCUUUGCUCUUGCUCCUAAUUUCCUUGUCUGAUAUAAUACUCAUUUUUUAGUAAGCUAAAAUCUCACUUGCAUCUGGCAGGAUGUUAUCGAAGAAAAUAUGCCAAAGUGGCUUCCAUAUCCGGUUACGAGUUUAAAGUGUUUGAACUUGCAAGAUAUGCAACUCCGUGAACUGGGUUAACUUCAUGGUGUUCUAUGUUUGCUUCGGAACUCGCCAAAUGUGGAAAGUCUUUGGAUGUAACUUUGGGAGUGGGUAAAUUAAUUAAUGCCUAAAAUAUAUGUAUUUUCCUUAUAUUGUAUGAGUUGGAUGCUAAGCAGCUGUUGCAUUUAUUAUAUUUUCUUCAGAACCCAGAACUUGAUGAGGGUCCAGCUUUGAAUCAUUUGGAAACCCCACACUGCUUGGACUGUACGUUGAAUCAGUUGCUAACUGUGAAGAUUACAGUUUUUGAAGGAUCAAGAACUGAAAUACUUUUUUUAAAGCUUCUACUGGCUCAUUCCCCUUCUCUUAAGAAGUUUACAAUCACACCGUGUGGAGCUUGUGGUGUUGACAUCGUUAAGGAUGUUAUACAGUUCCCUGAGCCUCACCAAAAGCAGAAAUAAUCUACUUGAAUCCCACAUCAUAAUCUUGAAAGAAUGUUCAAUGACAUUGCAGUUUAGCUCUACAUCUUCAUCCUUAUAGGCAUAUUAAGAUUAAAUUUAUUUUCUAGAUUUUUUUUCAUGGAUAAUAUGUUUAAGAAAUGCCCAUUACGAUUAACUUUUUCGGCAUUCAUAUUACUACAGUAUGUCCAAAAUCACCAUACUUGCAAACUAAGUAUUUUUUUGUCCUUUUCACAAGAAUGAUAGCAUUCUCUGGUUCCAAAAAAGCCCUUCUCUACACUUCUAUGGAACAAAUGGUUUAUUUUUUUGUUAAAAUCACAUAAUCAACUACAUUUUAAAACUAAGUGAACAACAAUGAUUUACAAGAAUUUGGCCAGGUAAUUACAGCGAGGCCAUGACUUUCUUGAUGCAAUUUUUUAACAUGUAUACAUACUGAAAGAGACUAUGUUUCCAGCUUAAUACUAGAAAAAUGUGAGAUCUCUCUGUCGAAUCUCUCCCGUUAAAUACCCUCUUAUUUUACCUACAUGCAUUGAGACACUUGCAUUUUUGUACAUUGUAAUUGACUUUUGCUUCUUUGCAGUUUGUGUCUUGUAAAUAGUUCGUAUGAAUUCAUUAAUCCUCAUGUAAAGUAUCAUCCUACUGCCAUCAUGGCAGCCUAGUGGUGUUCACUGUGUAUGUAAUCCUCACUAUCUUCUCCCUCCAAAUUCAAGAAACUUAACACAGUUUAUGGAUUAUGUAUCAUUUUCCAACUCAUUUUGACCACAUACAAUGCAAAAUUGCGCAAUAAACAAUUAGGAACCAACAACUAAAUAACAACAUAAGAAACAUGUUCCAUAAUUUUGUUAAUAUAAAUAAAAGGCGAGAGAAAUACCUAGUUAAUCUAUAGUAAAAAUUGAGAACAUUGGAUUCGAAAGAUGAAGAUGCCAAAUUAAACAGAGAGAUUGAUUCCAAACUUAAUCAGAUGCAAGAAUUGACAUAAGUUACUUCAAGUUUCCAUGUCAUAAAAUGAGGUUACGGAAGUUCCAUAUAGCACAGAUUCUUGUGCAAACAAGAAACGAUAAGACAACAACAAAUUAACAAUGCUAACAUAGAUGACUAAGCUAACAAGAAUUGUAACAAAAAAGGAACAAAAGAAAAAGAGUUUGCUGGAAAUCAAAUUACAUGAUGACCAAUAAAAAAAGGUGUGUUCUGAAGAACAAAAUGUAAAAAACUAUCAGCUCUUUACAAGACAAAUAGCUACAAGUUGAAAAUAAAUGAACAACAACUAUUUACUCAUCAAAGACAGAAGACAAUUGCAACCAAAAAUAAUACUUUGUUGAUGUAAGUUUUAAUAUGUAUAUACAGUGAAAGAGAAAUUAUGUUGACAGCUUUAUACCAAAAACCGGCUUAUUUUACCUAUUUUCAUUGCUACCCAUACAAUAUUGCUCUUAUUUGUACUUAAUUUUUGCUUCCAUGUGGUACAUAUGCUAAUUUAUAUAAAUAGUUGUACAAGAAAUUUUAUUAGUUUGCAUGUUAUAUCAAUGAACCAAAGAUUAUUUAAACAAAAUCAAGCCUUCAUCCAUGACUCUCAUCUAGUCAGAACGGAAGUAUCCAGACAAGACAUUUAAGAAAAGUAAUUCAAAAGUACUUCUAAUAGUACAAUUAAAUAUUAACAAAAACCCAAGUAUUUCAAGCUUCACCAAAACCUUACUAAACCAAAAUCCUUGACAAUACCCACUAUUACAUGUUAAUGAUUAUAAACAAUAUAAUUACACAAACCCGGACAUUGAACAAGAAAAGCUUGAUUAAUUCUACGGUUCUGUGCUAGGAGGAAGAUGUUGUAAGCUUCCAGGGACAUUCAUGGAAUGCAGUAGUCCUGGAAUGGCUUCUAUUUCCCUUGAACAUAUCUAUGUAUCAACUCACCUAAAGAAUAGGCAUUCACUACCCUAUAUUGAUGUAAACAGUUAGUGAGGAAGUAACCAAGUAAGUAGACUAAAAAUCUUUGCCAAUUAUCACUUGGGAAGAGGAGUAUAAUUGUCGCCCAGGGUUGUUGGAUGCUCAGGAUAUUCAAAUCGAUGUUUUACUAACAUGAUGUCCACCCCGAAAACCGAAGGCGGAAACAUUUCCGGGGCGGACUCCACGUUGAGUAUCAAAUCCAAUGCACAUAGUAGGCAAAGUAAUCAACCAUUACAUUACAUAUUAUAAUUUACAUAUGUUCAAAAGUAACGUGUUACAAGUGUUAUAUAUAUAUAUAUAUGAACAAAAGUAGAGACGAUUCUUCUGUACACUCCGUCUUCUCCAAAAGAUCGUGGGUACCUGUCUAAAAUGGACCUGAGAAUACAAGCAGUUUGAAAAUCAGUAUAAAGCUGGUGAGUUCAUAAGAUGUUUGUUUUCUGAAAAUGUACAAGUUCCCUUUGGUUUUCUGAAAAGUUUGUUAUCCAAGAAAAUCCAAUAUUUUCUUAUAUGUAGAGUUUGAUUAACUGUUUUAUUACACAAUUCUGGUUAUGAACAAUUGUUAUCCCAGGAAAAUCCUAUAUUUUCCUAAAAGUAAGUUUAGUUAUUGAAUCCCAAUUGUAAUGUUUGAUUGUCUAUCAUACUUGUUAUAUUAGAUAGAUAUUAUGAUAUCCUAAUUGUGUUACACUUGAAUGUACCUAGAUGCGUGCCUUCAUAUUCGUAUUCUUAUUCUUAAUCAUAUUCAUGUUCGUAUUUUAUAUUUGUAUUCAUAUUUAUAUUUGUAGUCCUAUUCAUAUUCGUACUCGCAUUCGUAUUCGUAUUCCUACUCCUAAUCAUAAUCCUAUUCGUAUUCGUAUUCAUAUUCGUAUUCGUAUUUGUAUUCGUAUUAUUAUUUUCGCAUUAUUACUUUAGUAUUCCUAUUUGUUUUGUUCCUAGUUAUGCUUUCGUAUUCGCCCUAUUUCUAGUUAUACUUUCGUAUUCGUUCUGUUCUUAGUUGUAUUUUCGUAUUCAUAUUCGUAUUAGUUCUAUUUGAUGAUUAGUAUGCAUUAUUCGCAGAUUAUGAAAUAUAAUAUAGAUUGUAACACUCUAUCAAGAAAUCUAUGAUUAGUUUGAAAGCUAACUCUGUAAUUCGAACUAUUUGGUUAACAUAGUUUUCGAUAUUAAAAGCAUAUGUAAAAUGAAACAUUUGAGCUGAAAAUAAGUUUAAGUACAAGAUUUCCUUGUACUUUUGCUUGUAUUCCCCCCUGAAAACAUUUGAAAAACAUAUGAAUAACACGGAAAAAGGUAGGGGUAUGAACUCACCGGUUGAGAAACGUGUCAGUUUGGAUCCUAAACGUUAGUUAUGGGUUUGCAAACGCACAAGAUUCCUAUGUAUUAUGAAAAGAUACACAUUUGUAUCUAAUUAGAACUUAAAUUAUUUAUUAGAUGAGGAAAUAUGCUUCUAGAUGCGAAAACACUUCAUUUCAAGUGUUUGGAAGGACCCGGAUGGCAUUUGAGGACACAUAAGGCUUGGAUAUGGAGUUUACUCUUCAAGAGUAAACUCAUACUAGAGUUUUCAGCCUUAAUGACUCAUUACCCAUGAGUUUACGGCGAAAACACUUCAUUUCAAGUGUUUGGAAGGACCCGGGUGGCAUUUGAGGACACAUAAGGCUUGGAUAUGGAGUUUACUCUUCAAGAGUAAACUCAUACUAGAGUUUUCGGCCUUAAUGACUCAUUCCCCAUGAGUUUAUGGCCGUAAACUCAUGGUGGGGUGCUUUUGGUUGCUAAAUCGCUUUAUAUGACUUGGGAAAAUUAGCUACGAUUACAUUUAGGGCAUUGGAAUGGAUUUAACUCACAUAUGGACCAUUUAUUGGAGUUUACGGAAGUAAACUUGGAGUUUACAGCCGUAAACUCCCCUCACACUAAAUCCUUGAUGUUUUGGUGGUUCUUAAUUAAUCACAUGUGAUUUCAAGCUAUUUUACAAGUCUAGGGGUAAAAUUUGGGCACCAUUUGACAUAGUUUUAGGAGUUUAUGGCCCAAGACUCCUUCUUAUGGCCGUGAACUCCUUAGGGGGGUGAUUUCCUUAUGUUUUAGGCUUCUAAGUUGUUUGUGGUUGCUUCUAGAUUUUUGUUCAAGGCCUAGGAGGUGUGUAAGUGGCAAUUUAACACCUUAGAAGGAGUUUACUCCCCAUGAUAAUGAGUUUACGGCCCAAGCAUGUUCUUGGGAAGUAAACUCAUGUUUACUCUUCUAAAUUGAUGUUCUAGGUGUUCUAUGUCCAAUUCCAUAAUUCUACAAGCCAUAUCUAAGCCUCAAUGGUGUUUUGGAGGGGUUUUAAGGCAUAAAUACCCCCUUUAUAUGUGUUUAUGGCCCAAGCAUGUUCCUGGCCGUAAACAUAUGAACAAGGUCCUAAUUCAUGAUUUGAACUCGAAUUUGAAUGCUAAGGAUGAUAUUCUAGGAGUUAGGGAAGAUACCUUGAUGAUUAGAAGCCUUAAUUUGAUGAUUUUGGACCCGUAGAGUUGCUUUGAGGAGAGAGGUUAGAGAAAGAGUAGAGAGAGAGGGAGACCAAAAGCUUCAAAUGGAAGCUUAAUCCCCUUUAAAUAGUUUCCAAGAUUUGGACACGGUGGAAUUUUACCCGAUACUGACAUUAAACGAGGCUUUUGGUCGCACCCGAUUAAGUUAUCGUAAUUCGACGGGAUAGAAUUUAGAAAUUUUCAAAUUAAUGAUUUUCAGCCAUUUUUAUGAGUUUCUAAGGGAUUUAAACACUCAUGAGAUUAAAAUAAACUUAUAAGUUUAAACAACUUAGCCCAAAAACGGAAUAGGAACGAAUCGCUAUAGACUGGUUUUACGAGCGGAUUGGGUUUUGGCAAUGGACAACUUCGGGUUGUUACACAUGAUAUGCAUGAAAGGAAGCAUCGCAUUAAAGGUUAUAUGUAUGAUUGUGUUGAUCACAACAUUGUAUAUAACUAACAAGUAGACGAGUAUCUUGAGGAGAACGAUUAUAAGUACAAUUAAGAAGUUUAAUAUCUAAUUUAGAAAAAAAAAUGAAAGCUAGUAAUGAAUUUCACAGGACAUUCUCUCUUCUCUAAAGAUUAUUUUUCCAAAUUUGUUUCCGGGAUUGACGGGAAAUUGUGAAUACCUAGUUAAGAAUAAUUCAUAAUUAUUGUUUUAUGCAGGUUUUUAUUAGCUUUAGAAUAAAUCAAAAUAGACAGUGAAGUGGUCCUUGGUCUACAACAUCUAGUCAAAUUUGUUUCCUACUUUUUAGCUAAGCUCUAGUUUAAAUACACAGGCAAAUGUACGUUGUUAGUUACCCCAAUAUAAAUAGAACCACCUUUUAUUUAUCCGACAAUUUACAUCAUACUUCCAAUUAUCCAUGAGCAACCAAUCUUUGGUGAAUCUCAGAUUGUCCUCAACAAUUGCUUAAUCUCCUUAGUCAUAUCCUAUUUUAGACUUUUCCCUUCUCAAUUCCCUAAGCAUUUGGAAAAUUUAGAAAGGAUGAAUAUUAUAGCACAUGCAAUCGAUCCUAUAUCCGAAGCAUAUAGGACACGAUUCAUGAUGUCUCACAUAAAGACAUAAUACUAGACCAGUCUUUUGCUACAAUAUUUUUAUUUUAUUUGCCAUGUUUUCAAAAUUUAACUAUGAAGAGGGAUGCUGUAAUCAUAAUCGAAUUUUGAGAACGCAAUAUAUAUAUAGAAUUUCGUUAAGUUGAACCAUUCCAACAUAAAAUACAUAUAUAUAUAUAUAUAUAUAUAUAUAUAUACAUACAUAUAUAUAUAUAUAUACAUACAUACAUACAUAUAUAUAUAUAUAUACAUACAUACAUACAUAUAUAUAUAUAUAUAUAUAUAUAUAUCCUUGAUUAAAAAUGAAUAAAAUCUCAAUCUAACCUUUUAGAAUUGAAUUGAAGUAUAAUUUCCUCGCCCUUAAUUAUAGCAAAACAAUUUUUCAACACCUGCAACUUCACGAAUUGAAACUUUUGCUUUUCUAUAAUUAACAUUGCUAACUUGCAAUAAUAAUAAUCAUAAUUAUCAUGCUCCCACUAACAUGAUGAUAAUUAGCAUAACACUUAUGCUCCCACUAGCUUUGACAUGUUUCCAAAAAUCAUCUGGACUUCUGAAAUUUAGAUUCAUACACCUCUUCUUAGAUAGCUCACAUGUGUGUCUAAACAAUUUCCAAAACUGUGAAAAGGGACGCCGUAAUCAUAGUCUCAAUUGUUUAGACCUUUUCCAUUUCUCAUAAGUCCAUGUUAGUGUGCCGGUUAACCACACACGCUCCACUACCGACUUUUGAAAAUGCAAAUAACAUAAUUGCUAUCUACUUAGUGAAAAUUUUUCCUCACCAUCAUUCUCAUAAAUCGGAGAGAAACCUUAUGGCGCUUAGAUUUUAUGGUGUAUGAGUUCCUAUCCAUGUGAAUUUGUCAAAACCAUAAUCACAAGACAAGGUUAGUGAUAAAUUCAGCCUUACGUGGAUUGAACUUGUUAAAUCUUAAUUUCUUGUCACUUGGUAGCACAAGGGCCCACCACUGCUUCCAAGUUGUUAUGUACAUAAUUGAGAAGUCACAGAACUCAUAUACAUACUAACCUUUACCGAAAUAGUCACAGAAACAAGAGUUAUGUCAAUACGAUAAGUUACAAACCUCAAGUCGUGUGCUUGUGAUAAACUAUAGGUUUUUAUCCCUGAUUAGCUCUUGAAACUUUCAAGACCUUUAAGACUCCCACUGUCCUCUUGACAUAUAAGUUUCUCUUUGUCAAGAACCAUUCCUUGACAAACAAACAAAUAUUCAAGAUCGAGUGCGGAUUCUUAUCAAGAUACACAGUUCACACAAUUAGUCUAGUUGGUCUUUGUCUUAUCUAAAACAUCACAACUUACCAAUUUCAAAUGUAUGAGAGUAGAAAACAUUUUACUCUUACAUUUGACUAGUGUUUUAAACCUUACUCUAUGUCACUCAAGGUUAUAACCUUGGAGUAUUACUCUAAGAAUUGUUUUGGAACGAAGUAUGAUUCAUCUUCUUGAUUUUAACCAAUCCAACAAUUCAUGACUCUUCUUCUUAACCAUAAGAAUGCACUAAGAUGUCGUUAGAGAAUCAAUUGUGAUAUGGUAUCUUAAUCAUUAAGAUGAUCAUAAAACACGAUACUAAAGUACUCUCCCAUCUUUUCAGAUUUGAGAAACUUUUAUCUUUCUGCCUAAUUUGAUUCUUUCCCAUUCGUUCUGUCACACAUUGAAAACUUUUCAAUGCUUUAGAAUUAUACUUAAACUUGUAACUAUAACCAUAUUUACUAUGUUUUAGCAAAUCAUAACGAAUAGUCUUAUCAAUCUUUGUGGUGGACUUAACCGAUGCACAAGCAUGUGUACUUGAUCCCUUUAGUCCUAUCCUUAUUCACAUAAGGAAUUAGUCUUAAUUUUUCAUAGAUGAAAAUUCUCAUCCAUCAUACAAUACAGCUUGUAUGAUUCCAAGUUUCGGUCCAAUUGAAACUUGGGUGAUGAGAACCUUUCCUCAUUUGGUAAAUUCAGACACUACCAUAAAUGAAAUAAUCAAAUCUACUUUCCAAUAUUGCUAUUACUGGAAACAUAUAAGCAACAAUUUUUCACAAAUGCCAUUGUAAGGAUAUUUUUAAAAUAAAUAAAAUUAAAACCUUUUUUAUUUUAAAAACUUUGCAGAAAAACUUAUCCUCACAAUCCAUAUGAAAACCUUGUUGUUAUCUAUUUCUAAGUAAUAUAUCAUAACUCUUAAGCAAGAGCUCAAAAUUCUGAUCACCGAACCAUGCGAUCGAAACCCAUCUUCACAAUCAGAAUCAUCAUAUACUUCCUUUAAGCUUCCUAUCUUUUCUUUGAUUCUUAAAAACUUCAACAUGUGACCCAUUCACAUUAUGUAAUAAGAAUCUCCAAAUAGGAACUUAAUAGAGUUAGACAUUGGACUUUAACUGAAUUAGACUCAAACUUGUUAACUUGAUCAACCUUGUGAUCUUUCAGGUAAAUAUGGCAGCUUCGCAAUCAGUGUCCUUCCCUGUGGCAAUAAAACAUAUGGUCCCUUUGGUAAUGGCACAUGACACUAUUUCAGAUUUAGCCUUUCUCUUUACCAUUUGGUCAACCGAUCGAGUUGACUAUGACCGAUACAUUUCCAUUGGGAAGAGAAAUCCUUUUCUAGAUAUCCAAUGCUACCAUUGUCAAUGUCCAUUCAAGGUUUGGGAAGUUGAUCUUCUAAUAAAAUUUGCUUUACUAGUGUUCCAAAUCAUUGCUGAUUCCGCAGCACCAAGCAAAUAGAUAAGAUCAAUAAGGGUCAUGUCAUAGUCUGUCUCAUAGUAGUCCCAAAGGGACUCACUAUGUUACCAAGAAAGUGAUUAAACAUCCAACUUUCACAAGACUUUGACACCCAACCCUCCCANCCAAGAUGUGAGCACACAUAGACUAUGCUUGCCAAUAGGGAUUGAGUGACUUUAUUGUGAAAUUUAGCAUUGAUCGAGUAGCUUCAAAUUGGAGGAGGUGGAGGAAAUGAAGCAUGAUGUUGAGGGACACCAUCUUCAAGAGAUUUGGGUAGGUCAUAGUUGUCUAAACCAGAAAUCUACAAUGGGAGAAAAUCAAUUUAGCUGAUUCAAGUCCUUAACAUAACACCCAAUAUGAAAUAUUAAGGCUAGGACCCAACAUAAUAUUUUAUAACUUGGAAGAGGGAUGUCGUAAUCCAAGCUAUAAAAUAUUUGAAGGUAGGCGAAUGACGGUUCACCAAUUUCCACCACAAAAACGAAAUAAAAUUAGGUUUUAAUUAGAUUUGAAACACCUACAUCUUUUGAUAUUCAUUGAACUUUUCAAUGGCAUGUUUCAAUCUCGAGUGUGCCCUCUCAAAUUUUGUGACUGGGAUGCCGAGGAUCACAAAACAAGGUGUGAAUAACCAUGCAAAUUCACUUAGUACCCUUAAUACUAUCACUUAAUCAAUGUGCUGGUUAACCAUACGCGCUCCACCGAUCAAUGAUAAACAUUAAGUCACCCUUUGUGAUCCUUACUAGUACAAGUUAGUGUGUCGGUUAACCACACACGCUCCACUAAUGACUUGGUAAGGUACAAAGUGUGAAUUUCAUGGGUUAGCACCAUGUUCACAUUUUUCCUAAAGUAACUAAGAUUGGGAAUUAAAAAAAAUAUAUAGUUACUUUAUAAUAAUCAUUAUACUUUUUAUGAGAAUUAAAGUCAUUGUCCUACCCGUUCGGCUAAUGACCCUUCACCGAUCAAGGAAGCGGUAAAACAACUUAAUCUUAUACAUAUAUAUAAAUAUUAACCAUUAAUCUUAUAAUAGUAUAACGGUUGAAUUUUAACUUUUAAAACUUCUAGGGUAUGGAAUUAAAGUUUGUGUGAGACUUUACAAAUUCAAAAACUUAAGGGCAAGUUUUGAACAAUUCAAAAACUUUUGGAUAUUCAUAACUUAUGAGUUUUAAUUAAGUGUUUAAAACUUUUUAAUGAAGAGUCUCUUGGAACUCCAUAACUUGAGUACAAGUUAUGGAGUCCAUAAAAACAUUUAUUAGAAAAAACUCUUCAAAAGUGUAACUUAUGACUUCUUAAAAAACAUUUAAAAGAAAAACUUUUGGAAUUCCAUAACUUGAGGACAAAUUAUGGAGUUCAUUCAAUGUCAUAAAGAUCAAGAAUUAUUCUAUCAAACAAUUUGCAAACAAUUCCUAUGAUCUAUCAAAACUCAUAAGUUCAUGAACAUUUAUAAUCAACAACUUUCAAGAAUCAUAUAAGCAUAUAUAAACUUGAAACUUUGAUUAUAACUUUGAAAUUGGUCCACCAUUAUCAUUACCACAUCAAAAAUAGGUUUUGUAAGUUCAAAAAAAAUUAAGGUAAUGAUUCUAGACCAAUUUCAGAACCAAAACUCGAAAAUCUGCACUCAAGCCUGCCAACUCUUCGAGUGCAUAAACUAACUCGGCGAUUUGGUUGAAUAUAUGCAUGGACUCGGCGAGUUCCAUGAAGGACUCGGCGAGUCAGCUGUGUAGAAUGUAGAUUUUCGACAUUUUUCAGCAAUUUGCAUCAAGUAUUUAAGAAAACAAGCCUAGGCUCUGACACCACUGUUGGGUUUUGAGCAUUUUAACAUUCCUAAGGUGUACAUGCAACCCUAAUAACCUUGGAUAUAUGUUUUCUCUAAAUACAUGCAAAUAAUGAUUUCCAAGGUUACUUCCUAACUAGCAUAGCAUAAGGAUCUUGAAUCAUAAAACCAUUAGUAGAAAGACAUGCCUUUUGAUUGUGAUUGAUUGCUUAGAGUUUGAGAGCCUAGCACCAAUAGUGUGAAUGCCUCAAGUGGAAUCACAAAUCGCCGCAAACUUUGGAAACUUGAAAGAAUAGUAUAUUGCUUCUUGAAAUCGGCCACCCUUAGUUCUCACACAACUAGUUGUCAUUUCAAGCAUCACAAGCAUCUUUAUAUAGUGUGGAGGAUUGGGGUAAAACCUAAUAACCCAUGUCUUUUUCUUUUCAAGGAUCCAUGGGUUAAAAGCUCCAUGGAUCAUCCGUGGACCCCCAUGCAUGCUUAGCGCAUUCCUAAUGAGUGUAAGCCCACAUUAUAUAAAAUGCAAUAGCCCAUGUUUAAUUAGUCACCUUUUGAUCACUAAAUUAAUUCAUAAUUAAUUUAAGAUCAAUACUAAUUAAACAAUGUGAUUUCAUAUUAAUAUAUUAUAACUUAUAAUAUAUUAAUAAAUCAUAAACAUACUAUUCUCAUAAGAUUAUCCAUAAUAAUUGUUCGAGUGAAGUGCAACCCAAAUAGACCAUGCCGGGUCGGGUCAAGUAUAUACCAAAUAAGUUAUGGACUUAGACACCUUAUCCGACAAUUAGUCGAUUUAUGUAGAAUCCCACCAUAAAACACCUCCAAGCUAUAAAAGGAAUCCUUAGAUAUGUAAAAGGGACCUUAAGCCAUGGUUUAGUCUAUUCUAAAGGAGGAGAAAAGGUCAAUAUUUCAGGCUAUACUGAUAGUGACUUGGCCAAAGAUGUAAAUGACAGAAGAAGCAUAGGGGGAAUGGCAUUUUAUGUAAAUGGAAACUUGGUUACAUGGGCAUCUCAAAAGCAAAGGGUAGUGGUACUUUCAUCUUGUGAAGCUGAGUUUAUUGUUGCUACUAUUGAAGCUUGUCAGGGCAUAUGGCUAAGGAGACUUCUUGCAGAAAUCACAGGUCAAAGAGUACCACCUGUGACACUGUUUGUAAACAACCAAUCAGCUCUUGAUUUGAUGAAAAACCCUGUAUUUCAUGGUCGGAAAAAACAUAUUGACAUCAAGUAUCAUUUUAUCACGAAAUGUGUUGAAAAUGGAGAAAUUAUACUGACUCAUGUGUGUGGGAAGAGCCAGAAAGGAGACAUUCUCACAAAGUCCCUAGCAAGAGUGAAGCAUGAAGGGAUNAAAGGGGGGGGGGGAAUGUUAAGAUGAAUUCAGAAUUAUUGUUUUAUGCACGUUUUUAUUAGCUUUAGAAUAAAUCAAAGUAGCCAGUGAAGUGGUCCCUGGUAUACAACAUCUAGUCAAAUUUGUUUCCUAUUUUUUAGCUAAGCUCUAGUUUAAAUACACAUGAAAAUGUACGUUGUUAGUUACUCCCAACUUUAUUUGUUUUGUUCAGUGAAUAAAGAACAUUUUGCCUCAAUUAUCCCCUGUGCCUACUACUUCUUCACUGUAUCUUCUCUGUUCACUGUGUAGCUUUCUUUAAAACUGUUUAUUCUAGUUUUACCCUUUCUUUAAAACUGUUUAUUCCACUUUGUUGUGUUUUGUUUCCUAUAUUGGUAAUAAAAGUCUUUACUACCUCGACAAUAUACCAACAUACCUAUAUAUAUUUGAUAUGCAUACCAAACUUCACCAACAUCCUUAUGUUCAUGAAAAUUUGUCAAUUCAUCUGCAUAUGUUGCAUCUGAGUAACUUUGAUACCCCAACAUGGAUGUAAUUGUUUCAACAUUAGGUUCUUCCUUGUCAGAGCUUUGAAUACAUUCCAUAGAAAAAGAGUAUUAGCAUUUUGCAGCAUAUGUGUUUAAGCAGAUUCUAUCUCAGAAGAAACUAACAUAUAAGAUACCACAUUAUUGAAGGUAAUUUAAUGUUAACGAGUUAUAUUAAUAGUUAAAAUUUUGGUGAUACAACAUUUUAAUUGAAGUUUCUUCUGUUCAGAGAUCGCAGUUAUCAGAUAAGUGUUCAUCAAAAUUGGGGAAUAAUUCUUGUUUUGAAUAUCCAUAAUGAAUGUUAGGUAUUAAGCAUGUGUGAUUCGGUUGCAGAGAUAGAUAUUAUCAUAUUAUAAAGUAUAGACAAUACGAAUAGUUAUCACCUAAUCAUGAUCUUCUCUGGAUUAAUAAACACUUCACCUUGGUUAAUCUACCCCGAUUUCUACCGAUGACGGAGUCUAAGAAGCCAAGGAAGGCUCACCGGGAACCGAUCUACCAGUCGCUACUUGCCCUGCUCCAUCGGACCAGUUGAGUCCCCUCCCUACGUGUAAUCUGCUGGCGACAAGGAAGAACAGCCAAGGAGACCGCCCGAGCGGCCCCCUAGCUACGAUAGACAAGAGAAGCGUCGCUGCUUCUCCAUUCUCCUUUCGUCAAAUCGAUCCCGCACCAGAGGUGCUUCCCCUUUCUCGAUUGAUUGCCAUCAUCGAGCCACCAUGGCUGCUUGUGUUUCCAUCUUCGUUGCUCGACAGAUGAACCACGACCACCGGACCAAAACUCCUGCUACCUUUCUGAUUCCCCUUUUUCGAUUUAUCUGUGGGGAAUCAGAAACAAACGAUAAUCAAGAUUUGCAUUCCUAAUAUUGAGACUUGAGAGUAUAAUACUGAAUUAGGGCUUUUUCUGACAAUUUCAAGAUCGAGUGGGAUAUAUGGUGGUUCUAGUGGGUAGAAGUAAGUGAGCCUUGAUCGAUGUCAACGAACGGGGAAGAAUGGGUGGCGGCGGGUGGGGGGGGAGGGGNUCGAUGUAGGGAGGCGGAGGAAGACCGGAGAAGAUUUUUGUGGUCAAAGAACACACCCAGAGCUAAAGAGGGGAAACAAGGAAGGAAGGCGGGUUUUCUAAUUUUUUUGAUUUCCUUUUUCCCGCUGCUAGUUGCUGAAGAGCGCGUUUGUAAAAUUAUAAAGCGACAUUUCUAGACGACACGCCUUUAACAUAAGCGCCCUCCGUGUUUUUUUUGUGAGACACUAAUUUUAGGGCAUGCAAAAAUGCGCGUCCUAAAUUCUUCAAAUUUUUAAAGAUCUGACAUUAUUUUUAGGGAACGCCCUUUUGCGUAUCAUUAAUCAGUACGUGUCGUAAAACGCGUGUCAUUAAAGGUCUGUUUUCUAGUAGUGAUUAUGAAGAUAUUAAUCAUGCACUCUAUGUUUCAAGUCACAAAUGACUUCAAUGUGUUAAUAAACCACCUUAAUAAGACUUUAUGAUGAAUAAGAUCUUCCAGACCAUAAGUCAGGUAUCAUAUUAAACAUAAAUCCAAUCCCAAGUCAUGAUGUUAUACUUUCCAUUAUAUUCCAAAUACAAUUAUAGAGUUAUGUUGAUGCCAUUCUGUCAUCCUUUAGUAAAUCAAAAUCAUUUUAGCUUUAUAUUGAACAAAUUAUUUGAAUUCAUAAUCCAUGUUUUAAUACUUGACUUUAUUUCUAAAUCAUUUUCAUUCAAUUCCAAUGGUAGAUCAUCACUGGAAUCACUAUGUCCAAUACAAUAACAAUGAAAAUCAUGGAAUAAUGACUAAGACAAACAUAUAGAUAUACAUAUACUUCAAAUAAUAUAGAUUUGAAUCAUUUACCAUGGCUAGGAGCUAAUGUACAACCCAAUCGUGAAGUUAUAGUUGCAAAAACCCCAAUUCCAUCGUUGAAGUGGGAAUUUGACUGUUCAUUGCUUAAAUGGAAACCUCAUUAUGUUCUAGAGUACAUUUCAAGCAUCAAAAUAAACUCAUAAUCAUUAAUGACCUAUGAAAUUCAGAUUUGGUGGUGAGACUAAACCCUAGGUUAAAAUUAAAGGAGAGUAUUGAUAGAUUAUACCUUCAAUGUUAUAGUGAGUGAUUCCAAGAUUUUAAAUCUUCACUUGAACUUCAAACCCUAGUUCUUGAUCUAUAUCUGAAGUUAGAAUUCGCCAUGGAGAGUCUCCCUUAAAUCUUAAAUCUCUGUCUAACUUAAAUGAAGUUGCUUGGAGCAACAAAUUUGGAUCGUAAGAUGUUUAAAUCUAUAAAUAUUUAGGAUUUAUGUAAUGAGAAAUUGUUUGGCAUUUAGGAGUUGUAAAUUCAAAAGUGGUUAAAAAAUUUGAAUUUUUAGGAUAUAUGAACUAAAAGAACAAAUAAUCUAUUUAAAUAGAUUUUUUUAGCAUGAAACUUUCCCGUUAUGCAUAUACAUGGUACUAUACUGGUGGACAUUCAUGUUCAAGUUUUAAAUCAAGUUCUAAAUUCAAUUCUAAAUCAAGUUCAAGGAUGGAGGUAGUGAGAGAUGGACGGGUGGUGUUGGGAGGUCUAUGUAUGAUGAUCGUGCUAGUUAGAGAUGGACGUUGGUGUCUUGGUGAAAUAUGUUCUUUGUAGGUUAGAUUUGCCGUUAAUAAUAAUAAUAAUAAUAAUAAUAACAACAAUUAAAUAAGGUUCUAAGAUUUUUGGAAGUAUAUACUAUAUAUAAUUAAAUUGGAAAUAUCAUGUGGAUGCCAUGUUGACCCUUUCUAUUGAAGUUAGCACUACAUGAACCCCCACCUCACCGAUAUUACCCGGAGACACUUUUUGCUGAAACAAAAGAAUGUUAAAACAUAUAGACAAAAUUUGUAAUUACGUCGAUAUUUAAUUUAGGGGCUGGUAGGCGGGCAACAUACCCUAAAUAGUAAAUUCCCAAUUGUUUGACAUUCUAAUUUGGUCUCUCCGAUCGUAUCUCCAUUGUGAAUGGGUAAGUUUCUACUUCAUAAACCUAAGUAUUCAGUUCUCGUACAACAAAUGUCGAUAUCCUUUUACUGUUGUGUCGAUUUAUUUGUGAGAUUUUGGUCGAAUUAUGCUCUUUGUGCUUUUUUUUCCUCAAUCCAGUUGAAUCCACAAACUCUGUUUUUGUUAAUUUCAUUGUCAAUUAUCACGUAUCCAUUGGAAAACAUAAAUCAAGAAACCGAUUUGAGAAGAUCUAUUACAUACGAUUUGAAACAUAAUCGGAUAGUUGCUAAUUAUGCAAGUCAGCAAGUAUUAAAGGGUUUAAGCUAGGUUUUUCGUGUAUAUUAUUUAGUCAUGUAAUUUCAUUAGAUUUAUAUCCCAUUUUUAUGACAGGGAAACGUAAAAGGAGAUCUGUAACUUUUAAUGGAGAAGAUAGAAUCAGUAACUUGCCAGAGCACUUAAUAGACUCAAUCUUAGAGCGGGUCCCAUUUGAAGAUGCUGUAAAAACAAGCAUUAUAUCAAAAAAGUGGAGGUACAAAUGGACCUCAAUGAAGGUGUUGACUUUUGAUAACCACUUCAAUGCAAAAAUUGCAAAAAAUGGAGCUAUUGAUUACAAUGAAUAUAUAAGCACCAUAAACCAAGUGUUAAACCUUCACAAGGGUCCUAUCUCAAAAUUUGUUAUCCAUAUACCACCUAUGCUUCUUGAUAGCUUCGAAGAAAUUGAUGAAUGGAUGAUGUUGUUAUCAAGAAACAAUG